GGAUCCCAUCAGAACUCCGCCGUUAAGCGUGCUUGGGCGAGAGUAUUACUAGGAUGGAUGACCUCCUGGGAAGUCCUC
rnacentral:rRNA from 1 species